AUCUCUGGCCAUGCCACCCUGAACGAGUCCGAGCCCGUCUGAUCUCGAAAGCUAUGCAGGGUCGGGCCUGGUUGGUACUUGGAUGGGAGACCACCUAGGAAGACCAGGUGCUGUAAGCG
rnacentral:rRNA from 1 species